rnacentral:rRNA from 1 species
GUAGGGAAUAUUGCACAAUGGAGGAAACUCUGAUGCAGCGACGCCGCGUGAGUGAUGAAGGCCUUCGGGUCGUAAAGCUCUGUCGCAGGGGAAUAACACAAUGAAGGUACCCUGUAAGAAAGGAUCGGCUAACUUCGUGCCAGCAGCCGCGGUAAGACGAGGGAUCCUAGCGUUGUUCGGAAUCAUUGGGCGUAAAGCGGAUGUAGGUGGCUAUGUAAGUCAGAUGUGAAAGCCUGGGGCUCAACCCCAGAAGUGCAUUUGAUACUGCGUAGCUUGAGGGUCGGAGAGGUUACUAGGAUUGUUGGUGUAGUGGUGAAAUACGUAGAUAUCAACAGGAAUACCGGAGGCGAAGGCGGGUAACUGGCCGAACACUGACACUGAGAUCCGAAAGCGUGGGGAUCAAACAGGAUUAGAUACCCCGGUAGUCC